GACGUAGGAGGCGAGCGUUAUCCGGAUUCACUGGGCGUAAAGCGCAAGUAGGCGGUUGUGAAAGUCCGUUGUUAAAGCCCCUGGCUCAACUGGGGGAGGUCAAUGGAGACUUUAUGACUUGAGGGCAACAGAGGCAUGUGGAACUCCUGGUGUAGCGGUGGAAUGCGCAGAUAUCAGGAGGAACACCGGUGGCGAAGGCGGGUCUCUGGGCAGUAACUGACGCUGAGGAGCGAAAGCGUGGGGAGCGAACAGG
rnacentral:rRNA from 1 species